GCGGUUAUGAUGAAAUGGUAGACAUAGAAUACUUAAGAUGUUCUGAAUUUAAUUCGUGUAGGUUCGACUCCUACUAACCGCA